GCCUGGGUGGCUCAGUCGGUUGAGCAUCUGACUUCAGCUCAGGUCAUGAUCGCACGCUUCGUGGGUUCAAGCCCCACAUCGGGCU
rnacentral:tRNA from 1 species